AAGAGAUUGCAUCUCUCUGCUGCCCAUAAAGUGACACAUGACCCUAUAACCGGCUUCAGGAAAUGAGAGUGGAAACACAGCUUGAAGAGUUGGUCUGCCAUGUACCAUGCUGUCUCUCCCCUUGCCGCCAUGACAACUUGGCACUGUUCCAGUAAUGGCGGCUCCGCCAGCCUGGGUCCCAGAGUGUGGAAGGCAAGCAGCAGAGCCUUCAGGAGAUCUGUGCUAGGAUCAAUCCUUCAAGAUAAGAGAAUUUUAUCGUGGAAGCAGAGCGAGUGGCAUCUCCCCACUGCACCAGAAAGGCUUCUGGAGUUCACGCACUGCCCUUGGCUCCUCCAGUUGCUAUCAAGUUGAUUUACUUCUGCAUGGAGCAUCUUAGGACCUAAGAAUAGCAAUGAUGAAACCCAGAAAGAAAAGGCAGACUCACAGGUAUUGGGAAAUUGGAAAUGAAGCCGGAUUGUGGCGGGGGUAGGGAGGGAAUCUUGGCCAGUUCAUUACAAGUCCAUCCCAAAAUGAAUCUUCAAAGUGAAAAUAAUAAUAAAAUUCAUGUAGUGUUUAGUAGAUAAACUGUGGGGUCAGAUUCCUCCUGCUGUGUAUAUAUAGGAGCUGUGCUCGAUGAAGACCAGCUGGCUUUGAUUUCUACUGAGAAUGAAACACAUUGAAAUAAACUUAAAUGAGAUCCUCAGUCACAAAGACAGCAAAUGAGUAGAUAGGAGUCAGUGGAAUUGGUACUGAAAGUCCCUUUUCUGUCGCGUUCCCCAUGCUGAGAAAUACACAGAAAGUCACAAACUGCUGCUUAUAAGACAGGAGUUCUGGAAACUCCGAAGACUCCAAGAACAUGCAAAAGAACCCGAACACCACACUGGCCUCCCCGAAUGAGUUAAAGGCUUAAUAGCACUUUUUGUGUGUGUAGCGUUGAUGUCCUUUCCUUUUUUAAGGAUUUGUGGUAAAAUAUACAUAACAUAAAACUUUAACCAAUCUUAAGUGUACAGAUCAGUGGCAUUAAGUACAUUCACACUGUUGGUGCAACCGUCACCGCCAUCCAUCUGCAGGACUGUUUCAUCAUCCCACACUGAAACUCUUCUGCAUUCAACAUCUCCC
rnacentral:lncRNA from 1 species